UACAUACUGUGCGAACGUUAUUCGGAAUCACUGGGCUUAAAGGGUGCGUAGGCGGCCAAUUAAGUAGGGUGUGAAAGGCUUCGGCUCAACCGGAGCAUUGCGCUCUAGACUGAUUGGCUCGAGUGAGAUAGGGGUGUGCGGAACUUCCAGUGGAGCGGUGAAAUGUGUUGAUAUUGGAAGGAACGCCGGUGGCGAAGGCGGCAUCCUGGACCGAGAUUGACGCUGAUGCGCGAAAGCGUGGGGAGCGAACAGG
rnacentral:rRNA from 1 species